AGUGAGGUCUUUGGACCGGCGCGCGGAGCUCCUUCGGGAAUUUCGAUGCCGCUGGGAAGAUGACCAAACUUGAAUAUUUAGAGGAAGUAAAAGUCGUAACAAGGUUGCUGUAGGUGAACCUGCAGCAGGAUCAUUA
rnacentral:rRNA from 1 species